UACAGAGGGUGCAAGCGUUAAUCGGAAUUACUGGGCGUAAAGCGUGCGUAGACGGUUAUUUAAGUCGGGUGUGAAAGCCCCGGGCUCAACCUGGGAAUUGCAUUCGAGACUGAAUAGCUAGGGUGCGGAAGAGGGGAGCGGAAUUUCCGGUGUAGCGGUGAAAUGCGUAGAUAUCGGAAGGAACACCAGUGGCGAAAGCGGCUUCCUGGUCCAGCACCGACGUUCAGGCACGAAAGCGUGGGGAGCAAACAGG
rnacentral:rRNA from 1 species